GCAGUGGGGGUUCAGUGGUAGAAUUUUCGGCUUCCACGAGGGAGAUCCAGGUUCGAUUCCUGACCAAUGUA
rnacentral:tRNA from 1 species